rnacentral:rRNA from 1 species
UACGUAGGCAGCGAGCGUUGUUCGGAGUUACUGGGCGUAAAGGGUGUGUAGGCGGUUGUUUAAGUUUGGUGUGAAAUCUCCCGGCUCAACUGGGAGGGUGCGCCGAAUACUGAAUGACUUCGAGUGCGGGAGAGGAAAGUGGAAUUCCUGGUGUAGCGGUGAAAUGCGUAGAUAUCAGGAGGAACACCGGUGGCGAAGGCGGCAUCCUGGACCGAUAUUGACGCUGAGGAGCGAAAGCCAGGGGAGCAAACGGG